rnacentral:rRNA from 1 species
CCAGCAGCCGCGGUAAUUCCAGCUCCAAUAGCGUAUAUUAAAGUUGUUGCAGUUAAAAAGCUCGUAGUUGAAGGUCUGGGCUUGCCGCGGGGUCCGCUUCGGCGCGUCCCCCGGCGGGUUCAUCCUCGCCUCGAACCCCCGGCUCGCCGGGGCGGAGGGGCGUCGUUUACUGUGAGUAAAUUAGAGUGUUUAAAGCAGGCUUGUGGCUUGAAUACAUUAGCAUGGAAUAAUGAGAUAGGACUUUGCGCUAUUUUGUUGGUUGCGGCGUGAGGUAAUGAUUAAUAGGGACAGUUGGGGGUAUUCAUAUUUAACUGUCAGAGGUGAAAUUCUUGGAUUUGUUAAAG